GGGCGUAAAGAGCUCGUAGGCGGUUAGUCACGUCGGAUGUGAAAACCCGGAGCUUAACUCCGGGCCUGCAUUCGAUACGGGCUGACUAGAGUGUUGUAGGGGAGACUGGAACUCCUGGUGUAGCGGUGAAAUGCGCAGAUAUCAGGAAGAACACCGGUGGCGAAGGCGGGUCUCUGGGCAACUACUGACGCUGAGGAGCGAAAGCGUGGGGAGCAAACAGGAUUAGAUACCCUGGUAGUCCACGCCGUAAACGGUGGGCGCUAGGUGUGGGGAACAUUCCACGUUCUCCGUGCCGCAGCUAACGCAUUAAGCGCCCCGCCUGGGAGUACGGCCGCAAGGCUAAAACUCAAAGAAAUUGACGGGGGCCCGCACAAGCGGCGGAGCAUGCGGAUUAAUUCGAUGCGACGCGAAGAACCUUACCAAGGCUUGACAUAUACUGGACUCCCCUAGAGAUAGGGUUUCCCUUCGGGGCUGGUAUACAGGUGGUGCAUGGUUGUCGUCAGCUCGUGUCGUGAGAUGUUGGGUUAAGUCCCGCAACGAGCGCAACCCUCGUUCUAUGUUGCCAGCACGUGAUGGUGGGGACUCAUAGGAGACUGCCGGGGUCAACUCGGAGGAAGGUAAU
rnacentral:rRNA from 1 species